rnacentral:lncRNA from 1 species
UCCAGGCUCAGCAGGGAGCUGCUGGAGGUAGUAGAGCCUGAAGUCUUGCAGGACUCACUGGAUAGAUGUUAUUCAACUCCUUCCAGUUGUCUUGAACAGCCUGACUCCUGCCAGGCCUAUGGAAGUUCGUUUUAUGCAUUGGAGGAAAAACAUGUUGGCUUUUCUCUUGACAUGGGAGAAAUUGAAAAGACGGGGAAGGGGAAGAAAAGAAGGGGAAGAAGAUCCAAGAAGAAAAGAAGAAGGGGAGGAAAAGAAGGGGAAGAAGAUCAAAACCCACCAUGCCCCAGGCUCAACGGCAUGCUGAUGGAAGUGGAAGAGCCUGAAGUCUUACAGGACUCACUGGAUAGAUGUUAUUCGACUCCGUCAAUGUACUUUGAACUACCUGACUCAUUCCAGCACUACAGAAGUGUGUUUUACUCAUUUGAGGAACAGCACAUCAGCUUCACCCUUUACGUGGACAAUAGGUUUUUUACUUUGACGGUGACAAGUCUCCACCUGGUGUUCCAGAUGGAAGUCAUAUUCCCACAAUAAACAGCCCUUACUAAGCCGAGUGUUGUCAUUCCUGCAGGCAGGACCUAUAGGGCCCGCCCGGCAGGACGACUGAGCAAGGCCUUGGAAGACCGGAGAGAUUGGAGCGGUAAGUCGCGCUGGUCACGUUGGACACCUGCACGUUGGGAGAUUCUGGAGCCAGAAGGAUAGCUGAAUGGCCUUCGCCCGCCCUGCCCCUCGCCUGCUUCAGAAACCCCUGGAAACGCCCCGGUUGAGACCCCGGCCCGAGCCGCCUGGGGGCCCUAGGGAGGCUGAACGCCCGGUGGCUCCCGGGAUGGCUCUUCCCGUUCUUUGCGCCGCCUUCACCCAGUGAGGGAGCCUGUGCCCUCCCUGCCCAGUCGCUUUUGGGGCCGCUGCGGAGCUUCCGCUGCCAUCUUCAGAUCCUGUGUUCCGCACGGGGGCUCCACCAGGGCAGGGAUCGUGGUGAGGGUGGCUCGUGGGUCCCCCUCACGGGGAGCAGGGUCUGGCACUCACCAGGGCGCAGGACUAGGACUUGUCGAAUGAAUCCAUCCUUUUAGCUUUUAGUCCUUUGAAGAGCCUUGAGAAUGGAAAUCAUGAGAGAUUUUUCCAUGGGGAAGUUCCUUUUACAAAGCAUUUAUUUACGUUGACUUCUUGGCACCCCGUGGGGCGGCAACAGGCAGGGCCUCCAGUGCACCUUUUGCGCGGUGGAGCCGCGGGGGCUCAGCUGGGCGGUGGUCGGGUCCUGAGGCCGGAGGGCGGGAGCAGGGGAGGGGAAAAGCAAAAGCGGGGAAAGAAGCCGGGGAGCGGUGGACCAGACGUCCAGACCUCCUGAAAGGCUGGCGGGGAGGCACAGGCGGGAUCUUCCGGAGGUGAGAAUUUUUUUUUAUUAUAGCAGAAUGGGGAGGAAUUGAGGGGAAAAUGGAGAUAGAACCUGAAAGAGCCCCAAACGUCAGAACCUGUAGCUCCCCAAGAAUAAGAUCUUCCAGAAGAACUAGACCCAAAACUAGCCGUUGG